rnacentral:lncRNA from 1 species
UGUAUUUGCAACUGCAUUUAAGAGGGUGAGGUGGAGUGGACAAGAGAGCUCAGUAGUCAUUAGACCUGUUCUCAACAGCUUUUGCUUGUCCUAGGUGGAAGACAAUUUUAAGGAAAAAAAACCUACUCUUUCAUACCUCACCAUUUUCGUUUCCAUAAAUUGUCCUCCUUUCAUCAGCUCAUCUCUGAAAUUCUACAAGGAGAUUCCAGGUGGCAGAGGAACUGCUGGAUCAAAACACAUGUUCCACGGACCACAGGUUUACCAGGAAGGAACUGAAGCUGCUUGUAAGGUUAUUACACAACUUUUUCCUUGGAAUCACAAGCCAUACUGUGGUAUGAAGAGGAAAGUACCAAGGGCUCCAUGGUUAAGGUAUGUCCUCUUUCUGAUGGAUGGUUUUUGCAAAGGCUAUCAUUAUUGGGAAAUAACAAAUAAAAUAACUAAACCCAUACAUAACACAGAUUUCAGAUGUGGUCCUAAGAUUACACUUGGCAGGAAAAUAUUUCAGGCAGAGAUAUGCCUGAAGAGGAGAUGCUGAAAGUAACAAAGAUGAUCCAUGUCUGGAGGAUAGGGAAACCACAUAUCUCAGUUUGCCUGGAACAGUCCUAGCUUUAAAGUUUAAAGUCCUACAUCCUUAGAAGGCUCUCAAUCCUGAACAAAUUGGGAGAGCUGGUCAUCCUAACGCAGGAUGAUAGGAUGUGCAAAGUAAAACGAAGUUUAGCAAGGUGGGCAGAAGGCAUAUGUCAUGCAGAACUUCGCAAAUUAGGGUAAGAAGAUGGAUUCUAUUCUAAGUAUAAUCAGAAGUCAUAUGAUUAUCUUGAGAAAGGGGCGACAUGAUUUUUACUGUCAGCAUAGAGAUCACACAAUCAAUAAAUAUUUCUAUGACAGCACUUCAAGCAUCUAUAGCAUCUUACAUUUCACAGCCUCCUCCAUUUUAUUUUUUCAUAAAUACUCUUUUUCAACCUUUUAUUAAUCAUUUUAGAUGUUUUCUCUGAUCUUGCUCCAAGUUUUUCUCUUUGUUCAAGUUGUGGGGCCCCAAACUGGACCAGUUUAUAGAAUAAUCACACUGAUCUUUUCUUCAAGUAAAAACAGAAGGUCACUUGCCCAGCAGGUCUGAGCACUUAGAUCGCAGAGUAGUCUUCAAGAGAAGUCUAACUGGGCAUCAAUCUCAUGAGUCGGACUGUGUAAAACCCCUGAUCUCCCAGGCAAGGAACACAUGUGCAUAAACUACUCCAGGGCCCUUACUGCACCCACCUGGAAUGACCUAAUAUUCACAUUUUUAAUCUCUAAGUUUUUGCCCAUUAAGUUCUCAAAGAAAACACAUUUGAUUCGUGUCAAAUCUAUCUUGCCACUUCAUCUACAAAGUGUUCUUUCCAAGGGGCUGGGGACUGAUAUUCUGUUCUAUGAUUGCUAAGAAACCUAUCAGGUUUCAUUUCUCUAUAGAAUAAUAUAUUAUUUGCAUAAUACACAAAAAGUAAUGGAGAAAAUGGAAAACACAAUAUUUAAAAAUUGCAUAAACCAUAGAAAUGAGAUCCUGCUUUGUUUUUUAAAAUGUCGUUUUGCAAAGUAAUAUUUUCACUUACAUCCUGGCAACUAUUGACUUAUACAAUUUAUUUGUAUGUUCCAAUAUUAGAUUUGCAUCAAACCCAAAAUCUUGCUUUGCUUCAUUGGAGAUAUUUGGAUAAAUUCUUAAGUAUAGUUAUAUGUGAGGAAAAUGCAAAAAUAAUAUACACAUGUAGUCACGCACAAAAAGCUGAGAAUUAAAACAGCACGAAAACUCACAAGCAAGGCGUAGGUAAUGAUAGGUUACCAGUCAAAGUAAGCAACUAUUGUGUUACAAGUUACAAGUGUUUUAUGUGCAGAUCAAAUCUAAAUUGCACAGUUUUAAGCCGGAAACAGAUGAAUACCUUCACAUCAUAGAAGUGUUUUAAAUCAGAUUUGUAAAGUAUGUAAUCAUGAACUCCUGGAUGAUUUGAGUCAGAUAUUUAUUCCUAUUUCCAUCUAAAGCACCAAGCACAGUACUUGAAAAGUCACAUGGAUUUAUCAAAUUUCAAUAAAUUUAAAUUAGAACAUGUCUUUAUCCUUUAAAAAUCUGUACCAAUAUGAUAGGUAAAAAUACUUAUUCUCUUGUGUUUAGCUUAAUUUUUGAAAUAAUACUGAGAAAUACCUCCCUUGAGAGCCUGGUAUGCUAAAAUCUUGCUACUAAAAGCCAGACUUAGCUUAGGUCACUGAUAACUAGAAACUCAUGCAGAUAAUACAAAUUGUACUUUUUGCUUAUUUUGAUCUAUUUUUUAAAGUAUGUAUCUAAUGAGCUUCAAAGCUUAAGUUUUGUUUCUUUUUGCCCUAAUGGAAUGAUGAGUGGCAGAGCAGAGAAGUUAAAAAGGAUGUUUGAAAGCUAUAAAACAACAAUUUGGAUGAGAUAGAUGUUGUAUAGCCUUGCAAUAUUAACUUUGAAUUGGUCUGAUUAGAACAAACCUAGGAACAAACAUAUUCCUUUUCUCACCUCUUAAAUUUGCAGCUAAAUCUACAAUAUUAUGACCACUGACUAAAGUUGUCUAUGGAGAACCUGGUUAGCAAACAUUAAAAAAAUUACACUAUUUUUUCUCAUCAUUAUUCAGCAGUAAACACAGAAGGCAGUCUUUUAAUUAUAUUUAGCUAGACUGACAAUCUUGAGAUUAAAGACCCCCUAAGGAGUUCUCAUCAUUUUCCACCUGAAAGUAGAAUUAAAAGUAAAUACUUACAAAGAUCUCUACUUAUAAGACAAGAAGUGAGUUGGAAGUUACUGAUCUACUACACUUAGGUUAAUCAACAAAUGUGUAGAAAGACAGACAUAUAUGUAAUUUUUCUAAAGCUUGAAAGUCUUGCUACACAAGUAGUAGAAUCUACUAUCAAUACCAGACAUUGUUUAUGCUAUUUUCUAGCCAUAUUACCUUAGGUUCUAUAUAUCAUAAACAAAAUAUAGUCAUCUCUUGGUAUAUAAGGGUGAUUGGUUCCAGGACCACCCACAGGUAACUAAAUCUGCACAUGCUCAAGUCCUACAGUUGAUCCUGUGGAAGCCUUGUAUACAGAAAGUCAACCCUCCCUACAUGCAGGCUUUGGACUCUCAGAUACUGUAUUCUUGAUCGGUAUUGGUUGAAAGAAAUCCACCUAUAAGUGGACACUUGCUGUUCAAACCUGUGUUGUUCAAAUGUUGACUGCAGAUUCCAAUUCUCCCUUUGCAUCUGUAGUUGCUUAAUAAGUAUUAAGUGAAUAAAUGAACUGAUGAUUGGGUGACUAGAACAAAAAUAUUGUGCUUCCUUCUCCCCUGCAAUUAAAUGAGCUCAACACAGACAGUCACAGAAGUGUACUCCCCUGGCUUUUCUCCAUAUUAAAUCUUUUACUUUUACGGAAGUUCAAAGUUUCAUAAAAGUCCUAAUCAUUAGCAUUUCCCUCUUAUUGGUGCAUGAGGUGAUGGUCACCAGAUGUGAAC